rnacentral:rRNA from 1 species
UACGCCCCGAAAGCGAUUGAGGGGGCGCCGCGUGAAGUCGUCUGCGGGGGUAGAGCAGUGUGGCGGCUAGAGAGCCAUCCCGGCUGACCAAGCGGGUGCAAACAGCGAAUACCGGAGAAUGUUAUCACGGGAGACACACGGCGGGUGCUAACGUCCGUGGUGAAGGGGGAAACAGCCCAGACCGCCAGCUAAGGUCCCGAAUUCAUGGUUGAGUGGGAAACGAUGUGGGAAGGCCCAGACAGCCAGGAUGUUGGCUUAGAAGCAGCCAUCAUUUAAAGAAAGCGUAAUAGCUCACUGGUCGAGUCGGCCUGCGCGGAAGAUGUAACGGGGCUAAACCAUGCACCGAAGCUGCGGAAGCGAACGUAUCACCCAAGACAACUUUACGGAGUUGACGAUUGACGGAGCGACGCGACGUCAACGCGUUACUUAAAGUCGAGUUGGCUUAGGGCUACGUUCGUUGGGUAGGUGAGCGUCCUGUAAGCCAGUGAAGGGGUGUCGUGAGGCA